GGCGAGUGAGCGGCAAAAGCUCAAAUUUGAAAUCUAGCACCUUCGGUGUUCGAGUUGUAAUUUGAAGAUGGUAACCUUGGGUUUGGCUCUUGUCUAUGUUCCUUGGAACAGGACGUCAUAGAGGGUGAGAAUCCCGUCUGAUGAGAUGCCCAUUCCUAUGUAAGGUGCUAUCGAAGAGUCGAGUUGUUUGGGAAUGCAGCUCUAAGUGGGGUGGUAAAUUCCAUCUAAAGCUAAAUAUUGGCGAGAGACCGAUAGCGAACAAGUACAGUGAUGGAAAGAUGAAAAGAACUUUGAAAAGAGAGUGAAAAAGUACGUGAAAUUGUUGAAAGGGAAGGGCAUUAGAUCAGACUUGGUGUUUUACGAUUAUCUUCUCUUCUUGAGUUGUGCACUCGUAUUUCACUGGGCCAGCAUCGAUUCGGAUGGCAAGAUAAUGGCAGUUGAAUGUGGCUUCACUUCGGUGGAGUGUUAUAGCUUCUGCUGAUAUUGCCUGUCUGGAUCGAGGGCUGCGUCUUUUGACUAGGAUGCUGGCGUAAUGAUCUAAUGCCGCCCGUCUU
rnacentral:rRNA from 1 species